rnacentral:rRNA from 1 species
CGGGUGAGUAAUACAUCGGAACGUGUCUUCUAGUGGGGGAUAACUGCCCGAAAGGGCAGCUAAUACCGCAUGAGACCUGAGGGUGAAAGCGGGGGAUCGCAAGACCUCGCGCUAGAAGAGCGGCCGAUGUCCGAUUAGCUAGUUGGUGAGGUAAAGGCUCACCAAGGCGACGAUCGGUAGCUGGUCUGAGAGGACGACCAGCCACACUGGGACUGAGACACGGCCCAG